CCCGGGCGCGCAGGCGUGCUCAGCUGGGCUGGGACGUGGGCGGAGGUGGUAAAGGGGUAAAGGCGGAGGAGGGAGUGUCUAUGAACAAGCAACACAUGCCUGGCGUGGUGCCUUGCAGCUGGCGGCGGGUGGGGCCGCCGGGCGGGCCGCUGCUUUCCCCUGUCCGCGGAGGCUGCGGACGGGAAACGAUCCGGGUGGGGAGCACCCCUGCCCAGACCCCUUCCUCUGAAAGUCUGCGGGAUCCAGGGGCCGGGAUUUUUGUCUGGUAUGUGGAGCUCUUCCCCCAAACAGGUGGGCAAGGAAGAAGUGGAGGCCCCAGCAUCUUCUCCGCAGGCCUGCACCUGGUGCAGUGAAGCAGGGGCAUAGAGAAGAGUGUGUCUGUGAUCUGCCAUGGAUUCUCAGGCAGAUGUUUUGGUUUACCUUUCUGAAUUGGUUUUUUUCUUCUAUAAGAUAGGGGUGUACAGGAAAGACAAAACCGCUAUUUUUUAAUUUUAAUUUUUAAAAAAUACAAUUUAUUGUCACAUUGGCUAACAUACAGUGUGUAAAGUGUGCUCUUAGUUUUGGGGGUAGAUUCCUGUGGUUCAUCACUUACAUACAAUACCUAGUGCUCAUCCCAACAAAAAAAUGCUAUUUUAAAAAGCUGGUUGCUUUUUGAGUUGGAAUCUAAGGACAAUAGAAUUAGAGUCUUUUUCUUUCUUGGGGUGUUUUUUUUUUUUUUUUUUUUCGGUUUGGUCAAGGUAAAGGGCUAAUUGAGAUAGGAGUGGUUAGGACCUGGGGACUAAAAUUGCUCUGCAUAAAGAAAUAAGAACUUUUUGUUUUUAAUUGAGGCUGGAGGGAAAUUUUUUUAUUUUGCUUUUGUUUGGGCAGGAGUGGUGAGAGAGUGGGCCCUAGCAGUAGGGUAGACCUGAGAAGUUGCUCCUCCAGUGGCGAGAAGGAAGGGGGCGUGAGCUUUGAUGUCUGAUUGUCUAUUUUAAGUAGUUUCCUAUUCGCCAUUAGAAUCUUUCUCUGGUAAAGAUGUGCUCGCAUGACACCCAGAUGUUCAUGUGUUUUGGAGGCUGAAUAGAGAGGGCUGCAUCAGCAGUAGGGGUGAAGUGAAAUAGAAGGGAGAUGAUGAGAAUUAGGUUGCAGUUGGGGUUUAGGAUCAAAAGUAACAAGGAAUCAUUGGGCACUUUUUAGCACCCUCCCUAGAAUCCUUGAAAUCAUUAAGGAGAGGGCUGGGUCCCAACAGUUAUGUGAGAUCUGGUCUAAAAUAGGCAUUUGAAUGUUAAAUGAAAGAUAGUAUACUUUGGGAGCAUGCAGAUGUCAGGGAGAAUAAUCUGACCAGGGUUGGAAGGUGUAAAUGUGGAUGUAGGUGAAGGCACUUCAUAAACUAGGGAAACACAUGAUCUUACACAAGAUAAAACCUCUUUCCAUGAAGAAUAUUUUGAAGUCAGAUUUGAAUUCAACAUUGAUCAUGAAUAUGAGAAUAAUUAUCUGGAAGUCAUGAGCUAUGAUAGUUUUCUUUCUGUGUGAAGUUAGUUCAGACUGAUAGUUAAAACACAAUUUGGAUGUUAGAGAUACAAUUUGAAAAAAUGGCUCCAUAUGACCCAGUGUUUCAUGUUAAGAUGUGAGAUUUAGGAUCCCAUGGUAUAUCAGGCCCAUUUAGUGGGAACAGAAAGCAGCUUUGGUCAUUUAAUAUUUAGCUGAGACUAUGGAUAGGUAUGAGAAAAAGGAAGUGAUGAUGUUGCAAAGCAAUGGGAAAGAGCAUGUAUAGGAUGUAUAUACUAGACACUCAACAUAUAUUGUCUUUAAUGCUCAUUCUUGUCCAAAGAAGUGGUGAUACGUGCAUUCUUUAGAUGGGGGUGGGGGAAAGGUGACAUUUACACUGAUGGAAGGAUUUGCUCCAAGUUAUAGCGCUGAAGUGGCAGAACUCCUGCAGACUGUCACCAAGGUCAAGGUCCUUGUUAUGUUCAUCUCACCAUGCUGCCAUGUGGGCUCUGAAUACAUUAGUGCUUAGCCUCCAAGCCUUGUGUGCUUCCAGACUCAUCGUCCCCGUUUCACACCACAUCUCCAUUGUUUUUCUUCCUGAGAAUUUUUAAAGAAGGCUUCUGACAAGACUUGAUGAGAUGCUACAGCUGACAAGCAUGUGAAAAAGGAUGAAAUAACUUGAGGUCUGGAGUGAACAGUUACGUUCCUGGAUUGUUGAAAGGCCCAUUCUUUACAUGGGAUCAGCCAUCUUUGGUGAGCUUUGUGUUCACGCCCAAACUCCAAGGGUAGGAUCUACCACAUAGAGGGUGGAGUGGCAUUCCAAUUCCAUUUAUUUUCUGCUGAAGCUGGCACACUGAAUGAAGAUUUAUAUCUUAAGUGACAGGAUUCAGACGAAACACGACAAACCUGUAAAAUCUGCAACGUGGACGUGUCAAUGCAGAACCUUCCGAUGAACUGGAUGGGACCAGGAAGACAAACCACACACACUGUCACGUUGUGCUGGGCAGCAUGACAGAUCAAAGAGAAUCCCAAGGAAGAGCAAGUCCUUGCUGGCUGCAGUGCAUGUAGUAGGGGGUUCAGCACAGACUGCUGUUUGGUUUACGGAUUCAAGUGUGCAUCUAUCUUGGGCCUGCCUUUUUAUGGAAAAAUUUUGUGGAGAUACACUGCACUGACUGGAAAAUUAUUUACUUGUUUUUUAAUCAAAUUUAUUGAGUGGAAGCAUUGGUCAUGAAACUAGUCAUUUCACUGGACUUUAAUCCUGACCUAGUUGCCGACAUUGGGUGGUAAUUAUUCUUAUUUACCAAAGCAUAGAGAGAAUCUGUGUUAAAAGAGCAACCCAGGCAGGCACUGCCUUGAGGAGGGAACAAGUUUUACCACCUUAGGAGAGAUGAAUUAGUUUUGUGAAACAUCUCUGCCUGUUUUGCUGAAGGACUCCAACCACUGGACAUGAAUGGAAGCUUGCGGCAACUUUGUACUGCAGACAGCAAGUUAAAGCCCCCCGCACCCCCCCAUGCCCAGGAAAGCUCAGGAGUCAGGGGCCUCAGCAGAGCACACUCCUGACUUUACCACUGUGUGCCAUGGUGCUCCUGACAGCCUGGUUGGCCGUCACUCAUCUAGAAGAAUGAAUGAACCUCAUAUUAAAUGCUCCUUGCUGUUGGUUCAAGUAGAUCUCCUCAGAGUUCUCACUAAUCAGGUUCCCACCGUCUUUGGCAGAUUUGAUUCCUGGACUCCCACGGAAGGAUUUCAGAGAAGUCUUUGAACAAAUUGCAAGAGGCACAAACUUCACCUAACAACUGUUUAUUGAACAUGGGUCACUUCUGUGCCUGGCAUAGGGCUGAGUGCUGAGGGUCUGAAGCAAGACAGGUCCCUGCCCCCAAGGUGCUGUAGUGCACAGCCUGCAGUCACGGGGCAGGUCUUAGGGCAUGGUUCUUCACUUGUGAGGGACUCCAGAGCUGUGAGUGCCUAAUGAGAACCUGCUGAUCAAGUGAACGGGGCCGACCAGUAUCAGGAUGGCUGCUACUGGCAUCUGUGCAACUUGUCUCCACGGUGAAGAAGAUGAUGGACUCAGAUCCUCUUUGUUUUUGCUCUAUUUGUGCUUCUGUACAGGAGACACCGGUAACCCUGGAGCAUGAAGGCCUUUCCCAAGGAGUACAUAAAGCCACAGACAGAAAAGAAUGCAUCUUUCUUAGAAUGUCCGUAUCAUUCAAUGAUGAAUUAUGGAAAAGACUUUUAUAUUGAACUCAAAAUUUGCCCUGCGACAUAACAUGAAAUUAAAUCAAAAUUUCAAAAUAAAAUCUAAGAUUUUAAAGAAGUGUCAUAUAUGCUGCCUAAGGCCACUUUGGGCCAUGUGCCCCGAUCCCAGGGAUAAACCUUCAUUCUGCAUCUCAGAGAAUCCUUCAUUGUAGAGCUAGGACAAGGAUUUCCUGGUCUAGAUAGUGACUGGUUACCUACCACCUUACAGGCUCUCCCUCGAUGCCUUCCUCCAACUCUACUAUCUAACAAUGAAGUCUAACGUGGGGGAAUCCCACUAAAAUCCUAAACCAGAGGAAACAAGGUAGACUGCAGAAAUUCAGGUACUCCGGAUGGCAUGUAUUAUUAGCUUUUCUGCACUGACGUACGUAAAUCCCCAAUUCUGAGGUUCUAGGUAUUGCCAGGAAUUUAAUUAAAACAUUACCCUGAGCUGUUAAGUCAAAUCUCAAAUUACCAAGGAGUACCUAGUGGCUAAAAUUAGCAAUUCUAGCCAAACUAUUCUCUCAACUUCCAUUUGCUUGGGUGCCCUGCACAGGAGGAUAUGCUGGGACGCAGGGUGAGGUUGCUCUCGGACACGCUCCCCCUCUGUAGACGAUCUGAAUCUCUGAUGGAAAAUGUUGAGGCUACCCCAAUAACUAGUGGAGGGGCCAAGAGCACACCUGAAUCCAGUUACUUUGUAUUGAGCUCACACCUUCAUACAAAAUGCCACGCUUGCUUGCGUGCUACAGGACUUCAGUGAAGCCUGUCACGCAGGGCUCUCCAGCUAGUCAGAGUCUGAAGGUCUCAAAAUGUUUGCAGAAUGCUACCUUUAUCUGUAGUAAAGAUCAGAAAUAUGUCUCAGUGUCCUGGCUUCUGCGUUUUUAAAGAAAAUCAUCUUCAACUGCAGCAUUUUGUUUAUACAUGAAUUCAGUGUGUGUGUGUGUGUGUGUGUGUGUGUGUGUGUGCACGCGCGCAUGCACACGCAGGAAGGUGGGGCUGGGGGAGGCUGUUGGUUCACUGAGCGUCUGUCUGCAGCAUCUGUCACUCUGGGUCUGAAACAUCCCUCUGUGCUUCCCUCGCUUUCCUUGCUUCCAUUGGCAUCUCACAUACCAAUGUCAUUAGGCACUGUCUGCCCUGGUCCUUCUACAAUCCAGCCCGUGCAGUUCCCGUCACAGCAAGUGCUUCCUCUGUCAGAGCAGACAAACUGACUGAAGCCACAGCCGGAAGCACGCUGACCACAAGUGCUAAAGUUCUGGUUCAACUGAAGAGGCUGUUCUAAGAAAGACUACUGAGGUAAUCAGUCACCUUCCUCAGAGAAAGUCUGCUCAGGUAGUCUUGUUUAGUUUACCACGUAAACAAUGGAACAUUUACUGUUGAAUCCUUUAUUCUUUUAUAGCCUGAUGGGAGACUUGACAUUUUUUGGUGGGGGCAUGAUGGAGAAAGAGACCUGGGGCUUCUCUUUCCUUCAUAGUCCCCUCUGAGGAGAUCAAAGAAGUGACUUGUUAGCCGGCUUCAUUAUAAAGGGAUAUCUUAAAGAAUCCUAAACGUAUGUACAGUUGACGCUUGAACAUCCCAGGGAUUUAAGGGUGCUGACACCCACAGUUUACUACUCAUCAUCGAGCGCCUACAAUGUGCAGGUUCUGUGCUAGCUGUGUUACAUAAACUGACUCUCGUAGCCCCACAAUAAUGCAGAGAAGUACAUACUAUUGCAUCCAUUUCACAGAUGAGCAGUUCAAGUUCAGAGAACUGAAGGGACUAUACCAUGAUUACCCGACUACUAAGUUGCAGUAACUUAAUCAGAACCCAGGUCUGACUCCUGACACCUUCACCAUACACUCUAAGAGGAAUAUUCUUUCACUUAAUGCCUGAUACCAUCUGCAGUGAAGACAUCCACAGGCUGGAACUGGACGAAGAUCUCCAUUCUGGUUACUUAGGACGGGACCAGGAGAUGCUCGGCAGCCCAACAAACACAAGACCAUAAGCCAUGUUCAUUUCCGAUCCUGUGCGAUCACAUCCCUGCCACCCCACACUUCGUUCCUUAAAACAAAUUGGCACAGGCAACCUCUACAGGGAAUCGACGAGCACUGCAAACACUGCCUGGCAGAACAGAGGCAGAACCGAAGUCCACCCGAUGCCAAGGCCAGAGAUGCUAGAGCAGGAGGGCAGCGCCUCUCCCACAGAAAGCCCGCGCUUCCCUGCUGAGGCUGGCUGCCACACUCACCACAGAUAAAGCACGUGGUCUUUAAGAUCUCCUCUUUCUUCUGCUUUUCACUCCUCAGGUCAGCAAAGGUGUCAAUGAUGACCCCGAAAAUCAGAUUAAGGACGAUGAUGAUGACCAUGAAGAAGAACAAGAGGUCAUAGAUUACUCUGGCAGCAAAGAGGGGCUCCUGGAAAAGAGGCAUCGCCAUCAGCAACGUGACCCACUGUCCUCUGGCCACUGAGGGCAGAAGGAGGAGGACUCGACGCGCCCGACAUUCAGGGCUCACCCUCACCCUAUUGGUCUGCUCUGUCACAAGUUAAAUUGGGCAUCAAACUUGAAAAGUCACAACUGUGUCCCUUUUCAAGCCCUUUGCCCAGACUGUCGGUUCUGUAAGUGUUGUGUGGCAUGUGCACAAGAACAGCUUCCUGGGAUCUAAGGUGUCUGGGAGAUGUGCUCAGGCAGGCCAGACCCAGCCCUGCACGAGCAUUUCAGUACGUGGAGUGGGCGGGGCUUUCCACAAAGAGGGUUUCCCUGCACCCUGAUACUAAGGCCAUGGAUGGAGGGGAGAGAAGCCUCAACUGGCCAGUCCUGCACGUCUCCUCAUCACUACUCCAGCUGCCUCUGUCUUCGGUUUCCAUGCAAGCUCUCUGCGUGCUGCUCCCCACCCCCACCCAGCUCUGCCUUCCCUUGGGGAUCCAGCCACCUCCCCCCACCUCUGCCUUCCCGUCAGGAUCCAGCUACCUCUUUGGAUGGUUUCCUGAGCACGUCUCCUACUCCGCCCCCGCUCCUCAGCCCGUGACUCAGCACCGUGACAAUGCACAUCAGAAGUGUCUCACACGUGUGCUCCUUGUCUUGCUCUGUCUCUUCUGUGAGGACCAGCUCUAUGAAUGUGGUAAGAAACAACAGAUUUACAGCAUGUGGGAAAAGACAUACCAUGAUUUUGACACUGUCUUUCCUGAAUGCCAUCUUGCCAGCUGACAGACACACGGGAACAAGAAAGAGUAAAACUAAGUAAUCAGGGCAAGAUUCCGGGAACCAGAACGGAAGGUGUUCCUGUUUGCAUGUCAACAAGCAAGUGGCUAUGAAGGUAUUCCUACUUACGUUGAAAGCUCCCAGAAGAAACAACGUGGGCUGUAACCCAACCGAAAAUAUCAACCGGAGAAUUGUGGAGGCAAUUAAGGCCCGGAUGCCAUGGGGCUUGGGGAGGGCAAUGACAAUGGCCAGAGAGAUGAGCAUGGCUGUCCACAGCAGUCCUGACCAGUGUGGCUCCAGUGUUCCUGGAAAGACAAGGUGGGGCUCUCAGAGAUCAGCAUUUCACUGAGUAAGAGGCGACAGACCAAAAUGGGUAUAAUGACACUUUCUUCGAUUAACAAAUGGGCCUCAUUGUCCAAAUUCUCACCUCCAAUUCUGUGCCCCUCGACAUAACCCAUCACACCCAUGUCUUCUCACUGGCAAGCCUUGACCUAUGUUCGUUCUACCUGGGGAAUUCUUCUCCCCUUCCUAUUCAUCUUAGGUCUUCACCAUCAACUCAUCCCCACCUCCUUCCUCUUCAGAAAACUAUGCCAGGUGCCCCUCCCUCUCUGUGUUCUCAUUCCCCACCCUGGUCAUCCGUAUACAACACUAUUUUUCUGGGUGUCAGUUUACCUGUCUUUCUCUACCCUCCACCCCUACCCUAAAUGCCCCCCAGCCAGGUUCCAAAUUCCCUGAGGGAAGCACUGGGCACCCAGUAGGAACUAAUCAGAUGAAUUUGUUCCAUCAAUAAAAUCCAUACAUGUAUCACAUUUCACUCUUCAGGAAGAUGAACUGGAAGCCUAAACUUCUAAUUUCUAUUAAAAGUAUGCAAAGGAAAAUUGCAGGUCUCCUGCCUGAAUCAGAUUUCUUCAAGGGAAGGAGGAAGGCAACUUCCGUAUCAUUAACAUCAUCCUACAAUUAGAUUAUCCUUGUAGUCAAAGAGCUUAUACCAGUUUUUGUCAUCUCUUGCUAUUUCAAGUUCUAUUUAGAGUGUCCCACGAGACGGCUUAGUUAUAUAACAUGAGCCAACACGGCUAAAAAUAUAGUUCUGUAAAACACUCAUUAAAAAAAAAUAAAACCCUAUUUCAAAUGCUGUCA